rnacentral:tRNA from 2 species
GCGGGUGUCGUACAACGGCCAGUACAUCAGCCUUCCAAGCUGAGGACGAGGGUUCGACUCCCUUCACCCGCUCCA